rnacentral:rRNA from 1 species
UACAGAGGUCCCGAGCGUUGUUCGGAUUCAUUGGGCGUAAAGGGUGCGUAGGCGGUCUGCUAAGUUUGAUGUGAAAUCCCGGGGCUCAACCCUGGAAUUGCAUUGAAUACUGGUGGACUAGAGUACUGGAGAGGAAACUGGAAUUUACGGUGUAGCAGUGAAAUGCGUAGAGAUCGUAAGGAAGACCAGUGGCGAAGGCGGCCUUCUGGACAGUGACUGACGCUGAGACGCGAAAGCGUGGGGAGCAAACAGG